AUCGACUGAAGCACAGGAAGGGCUUCAGCGGUCAAGGAUGAUCGACCAUGGCUUGGAGCCACCGACAGGAUGUUGGAAUGGUGUUGAUAGCAAAGAACCCGCUCAGGCGGGUUUUUU
rnacentral:sRNA from 1 species